AUGUUAGUACAUCAAGCAGCAGCUGAUAGUGAUGACAUUGUUCAUGUGGUACAGUCUUCUAACACAGUGGCACAUCAAGCAGCAGCUGACAAUGAUGACAUUGUUCAUGUGGUACAGUCUUCUGACACAGUGGCACAUCAAGCAGCAGCUGACAGUGAUGACAUUGUUCAUGUGGUACAGUCUUCUGACACAGUGGCACAUCAAGCAGCAGCUGACAGUGAUGACAUUGCUCAUGUGGUACAGUCUUCUGACACAGUGGCACAUCAAGCAGCAGCUGACAGUGAUGACAUUGUUCAUGUGGUACAGUCUUUUGACACAGUGGAGCUGUCAGUAACACCAACAAUGGAGGAAAUUCAUCGUUUUGAUGACAGUCUUUUGAGAUUUGAUAUUGCACCUGUUCAACUUUCAGAUACAACCCCAUCUGUUUUCCCAGUUUCACCAUGCUGCAGUGCUAUGAAAGAAGGUAUAGUAAAUAUUGGUUGCCAUGUCGUGACUCGAGGCUACCCAGCCAGUAUUGUAAUGGAAGCAUCCUCUGGUCCAGUUACAACUGGGGUAAAAAUAUAUCAACCAGUUUGUACUAAAGACAACAUAACAUUCAUAAGUUAUGCUUCAAUGGAAGUACCUGCCUGUGACCUGGACAUAAAGAACUAUAAAUGUAAAGUGGGCAAUCAUUCUAAAGUUAUCACUGUACCAGAAUGUGGGAGUCAAGAGCUAUCACAACCUACAAUGUAUAGUAAUGAUGCUGCAAUGGACAAAACAGAAAUCCUCUGUGUUAUUGAUAAACAUAAUCCUAAAAAGAUAUCAGUUGCAUGGUUUGUGGGUGACAAACCAUUACAAGAAACAAAUACAUUCUCUACUUUAAAAACAGCAGAAGGAUUUUACAGAACACAAAGUAGUAUAAUGAUUAAAAAUGAUGAAUGGCUAAGUGGAGAGACCUUUACCUGCAAAGCAACAGUUGGGAAGAUAAGUAAAUCCCAAAAAAUUUCAGGUUGUCCAGCAAGCACACCUGAGCUGUCCAUUGAGAAAAUAUCUCUUCAGGAUCUUUUAAUGAAAAGUUUUGUCACUGCUACAUGUAUUGUAAAGGCAUAUUCACUACGAGGAGUGGAAAUUAUCUGGAAAAGUGAUGGGAAAAUGAUUAAUAAAUAUGUGGAAAAUAAUACCAAUUCUGAAAAUGCAAUUCUGUCUGUUAAAAACGCUAUCAAUAUAUCAAUCAGUGACUGGAAUAAGAAGUCUUAUGUCUGUGAAGUCCAACAUCGUUGUCUUAAAUCAUCUAUUGAAAAGAACAUCGUACGGCAUGAAGUGAAAACACCACCUUCCUUGUCCAUCUUGGGCCCAUUCUCCAACAAGAAUCAGCAGCAACAUUUCCUGCUCUGUAUGAUAAAUGGUGAUUUUCCUAACGGGAUAUACGUUAAAUGGCAGAAGAAUGAUGAGGACGUUCCUGCAUCACGUUAUACAAACACCGAACCACAAUGUGUGACAGCAGAUCAGUCAUGCUCUGCUCAGAGCAAGCUGGACAUUCCUCAGAGUGACAGAAACACUGAGGCCAAUUAUACCUGUAUGGUCGGGUAUGACCCUGCAAAGCCAAUGGAAAAUGCAACUCUUGUGGAUCCAUUUGUUUAG